CAGAUCACUGUCAGCAGGAGUGUGUGUCUCUUAUAAGCAAAGGGGUAUGCAAAUGUGGGAGACACUUUCCUGUUUAAAUCUGUGCCUCUCUCUGCUCAGGCUGCACCUGGAGACACAAUCCACAGUCCCCUGGGUCUGUGCAGUGACCUGCCAGUCUCCUGAGAACUUUCCCCUCCAACACCCGGGGAAAUGGGAUUUUUGCUCUUUGUAAUUGUCGCUGUAGCAGCUUUGGAAGGUGUCCGCUCCCAGACGCUGGUGGAGUCCGGAGGGGGUGUGAAGAAGCCCGGAGACUCUCUGCGCCUCUCCUGCAAAGCCUCCGGCUUCACCUUCAGCAGCUACGGGAUGGGCUGGGUCCGCCAGGCUCCCGGGAAGGGGCUGGAGUGGGUCUCACGCAUUUACACGGAUGGGAGCCAACAAUUUUACGCCGACUCAGUGAAAGGCCGAUUCACCAUCUCCAGGGACAACCCCAACAAGCUGCGGUAUCUCCAGGGGAGCGGCCUGAGGGCCGAGGGCACCGCCCGGUAUCACUGGGCGAGAGACACAGUGCGGGGAAGCCGGGCUGGGCUCAGACAAAAACCGGCCCCCGCCGGCUAAGGACAAACCCUCCGCUGGGGGCGCUGCAGCUCUACAGCUCGCGGCGGGGAGAGCAGGGAAGUUAAAUUCCGCCUCCCCUGGGCUUCCUCUGCGAGGUUCCCACACACACAACUGCAGACCCUG